rnacentral:lncRNA from 10 species
GAAAACACAGAUCCUGGUGCCGAACAUGAGGACAGGGCAGGCCGAAGGAGAAAGUGGAAGGAGGGGAGCUUCUCUCUCAGCCUCAUCCUUCUGGGCCUGGAUGCUGGAGAGUCAUGAGGUGCUUCAGAGUACUCUGGGUGAGGAGGGAAAGAUGGUGCCCACCACAUGGAGGCCAGCCUAGGUCUUGUAUGAAACCUGUGAGCAGGAGCCAGGCCGUGGCCUGCUGACUGCAUCUGCCAGAUGACUACCAAUGUGAGAUUCUCUCUCCCUUGCUGUCUUUGAAAAAGCAAGUUGCCAUGUGAAGAGGGCCAUAUAGCAUAGGAGCUGAAGGCAGCCUCCAACUGACGGCAAGAAAAUGAGGUCCUCAGUCUGACAACCUGCAAGAAACUGAAUGUUCUAAAAGCCACAUGAGCUUGGGAGCAGAUCUGACCCCAGCCAAAUCUCUGAAGUCCGCAGGCAGGAAAUGAAGAUCAGAAAAAGGCUAUUGUCUCAUGAAUAUGAGCCAGACUCCACAGAAGCUGGAGUCCUUCAUUAUGGAGCUAAACACAUACACCUGGCUUAGGAGUCAGAAAAACUGAAAGAGAAUUCAGGGAAGUAGAGAAAUUGCAAGCCCAGAUGCUGCUUCAUACCAAAGAAGCAAGUCAGCAGGUCAGCAACAAUGUGUAUCAGUUCCAAAAUGACUUACACAGGUACCAAGACAAGACAUUAUAUAC